UACGGAGGAUCCAAGCGUUGUCCGGAUUUAUGGGGUUUAAAGGGUGCGUAGGCGGAAGAUUAAGUCAGUGGUCAAAGCCCACAGCUCAACUGUGGAACUGCCAUUGAUACUGGUUUUCUUGAAUUCAGUUAAGGUAGGCGGAAUUGAUGGUGUAGCGGUGAAAUGCAUAGAUACCAUCAGGACCACCGAUUGCGAAGGCAGCUUACUGGGCUUGAAUUGACGCUGAGGCAAGAAAGCGUGGGGAGCGACCAGG
rnacentral:misc_RNA from 1 species